CUCCUCAAAGGGUUGUGAAAUG
rnacentral:miRNA from 1 species